CCAUUUGGCUCCAAACCAUUUGUUAGGUAUGGCCUCAUACUCUCAGCAUCAUAGACCCCAGAUGGCAGCCUCUCAGCCAUUUCCUUCAGCUGUGCAGUAAGCGACUUUAUAACAUCUUUUGCAGCUUUGGUUUUGGAAGAUUCUUCUCCAGCUAAUGCCUUAGCUUCUUGCACCUUCUUUGCUGAUUUCCGAAGCUCUAAUUCUUGGAAGUCACAUUUCUGUCUCAAGCUCUCAACCUGUGCACGCAACUUAAGCACUUCUUGAUUCAAAAGCUCAUUUGUCUUUUUCAAACUAUCAGUUAUACUUUUUGAAAAUGAAAGUCCUGAUGUUGUUGGAACAGGCGUAGCAGAACGCGGGGGGCUAGGUCUCCUUGAGAAAGGUGACACAGACCUGGAACUUACUCCAGAUGGUGUAAGAACAGGUUUUGGAACUUUUGCUCGCAGAUCAACAGCACUGGACAAUACAACAUCUUUUAGCUGUAACAAAGAGGGUGCUUGAGAGGAGCGAACAAGGGAGAACGUAUCAGCUUUCUUUCCUUGUUUGGCUGCUUUGCUAUCUAACUGCUUAAUUAAAUCCAUAUUUGAAGGCAAUGCAGACUUUGAAAGCCUUAUUUCAGCCUUGUCCAACCUAUCUUUGUUUUCACCUGAAAGACGAGGGACAGAAUUU
rnacentral:misc_RNA from 1 species